rnacentral:rRNA from 1 species
GGGAAUAUUGGACAAUGGGGGAAACCCUGAUCCAGCAAUGCCGCGUGUGUGAAGAAGGCCUGCGGGUUGUAAAGCACUUUCAGUAGAGAAGAAAAGCUCGCGGUUAAUACCCGAUGAGUCUUGACGUAACCUACAGAAGAAGCACCGGCUAACUCCGUGCCAGCAGCCGCGGUAAUACGGAGGGUGCGAGCGUUGUUCGGAAUCACUGGGCGUAAAGCGCGUGUAGGCGGCCUUCUAAGUUUGAUGUGAAAGCCCGGGGCUCACCCCCGGAAGUGCAUUGGAUACUGGAAGGCUGGAGUACCGGAGAGGAGGGUGGAAUUCCUGGUGUAGCGGUGAAAUGCGUAGAUAUCAGGAGGAACACCUGUGGCGAAGGCGGCCCUCUGGACGGAUACUGACGCUGAGACGCGAAAGCGUGGGGAGCAAA